rnacentral:rRNA from 1 species
AGUGAACGCUGGCGGCAGGCCUAAUACAUGCAAGUCGAACGGCAGCACAGCAGAGCUUGCUCUGUGGGUGGCGAGUGGCGGACGGGUGAGGAAUACGUGGGAAUCUGCCCAGUCGUGGGGGAUAACGUAGGGAAACUUACGCUAAUACCCGCAUGCGCCCUUCGGGGAAAGCCGGGGACCUUCGGGCCUGGCGCGAUUGGAUGAGCCCACGUCGGAUUAGCUAGUUGGCGGGGUAAAGGCCACCAAGGCGACGAUCCGUAGCUGGUCUGAGAGGAUGAUCAGCCACACUGGAACUGAGACACGGUCCAGACUCCUACGGGAGCAGCAGUAGGGAAUAUUGGACAAUGGGCGCAAGCCUGAUCCAGCCAUGCCGCGUGAGUGAAGAAGGCCCUCGGGUUGUAAAGCUCUUUGUCCGGAAAGAAAGCGCCGGGUUAAUACCCUGGUGUCCUGAC